CUUUCCUCUGUAAAUGCACUAAUACUAAAAGACCUAUUUCAGAUCAUUUUGGAGAACUACGCUUUCCCCGGGCACUGAUUCUCACACGCCCAACGGAGGUGGUCUUGGAGGCCUGUGCAUUGGUGUGGGUGGUGCCGAUGCUGUUGAUGUUAUGGCCGACAUUUCCUGGGAGCUGAAGUGCCCUAAGGUUUGUAAUGAAGAGUUUUAUCCUUGUAGUGACCAAUGGAUUAGGUGGCUCUGUAUCUCUUCAAACCUGGCUGUUAUGAUUAGCACGGAUUUGGCCUUUCUCUGCCUCUGUGGUGGAUAGUGGAGUGUUUCCCAUGUGGUAUUGGUGUGCUGGAUAUCCCUUCACUGGUAGCCUGGUAACAUACACUCCCAGGUCUUUCUCUGCCUCUGUGGUGGAUAGUGGAGCGUUUCCCAUGUGGUAUUGGUGUGCUGGAUAUCCCUUCACUGGUAGCCUGGUAACAUACACUCCCAGGUCUUUCUCUGCCUCUGUGGUGGAUAGUGGAGUGUUUCCCAUGUGGUAUUGGUGUGCUGAAUAUCCCUUCACUGGUAGCCUGGUAACAUACACUCCCAGGUCUUUCUCUGCCUCUGUGGUGGAUAGUGGAGUGUUUCCCAUGUGGUAUUGGUGUGCUGGAUCUCCCUUCACUGGUAGCCUGGUAACAUACACUCCCAGGUCUUUCUCUGCCUCUGUGGUGGAUAGUGGAGUGUUUCCCAUGUGGUAUUGGUGUGCUGGAUAUCCCUUCACUGGUAGCCUGGUAACAUACACUCCCAGGUCUUUCUCUGCCUCUGUGGUGGGUAGUGGAGUGCUUCACAUGUGGUAUU